rnacentral:rRNA from 1 species
UACGUAGGGGGCAAGCGUUGUCCGGAAUCAUUGGGCGUAAAGCGCGUGUAGGCGGCUCGGUAAGUCCGCUCUGAAAGUCCAGGGCUCAACCCUGGGAUGCGGGUGGAUACUGCCGAGCUCGAGUCCGGAAGAGGCGAGUGGAAUUCCUGGUGUAGCGGUGAAAUGCGCAGAUAUCAGGAAGAACACCAAUGGCGAAGGCAGCUCUCUGGGACGGUACUGACGCUGAGACGCGAAAGCGUGGGGAGCGAACAGG